rnacentral:rRNA from 1 species
CCUAGUAACGGCGAGUGAAGCGGCAACAGCUCAAAUUUGAAAUCUGGCCCUCGGGUCCGAGUUGUAAUUUGUAGAGGAUGCUUUUGGCGCGGUGCCUUCCGAGUUCCCUGGAACGGGACGCCUUAGAGGGUGAGAGCCCCGUACGGUUGGACACCAAGCCUCUGUAAAGCUCCUUCGACGAGUCGAGUAGUUUGGGAAUGCUGCUCUAAAUGGGAGGUAAAUUUCUUCUAAAGCUAAAUAUUGGCCAGAGACCGAUAGCGCACAAGUAGAGUGAUCGAAAGAUGAAAAGCACUUUGAAAAGAGGGUUAAAUAGCACGUGAAAUUGUUGAAAGGGAAGCGUUUGCGACCAGACCUUUUCCUAGCGGAUCAACCGGUGUUCUCACCGGUGCACUUCGCUAGGUUUAGGCCAGCAUCGGUUUCUGUAGGGGGAUAAAAGCUCUGGGAACGUAGCUCCUCCGGGAGUGUUAUAGCCCUCUGCAUAAUACCCUUACGGGGACCGAGGACCGCGCUUCGGCAAGGAUGCUGGCGUAAUGGUCGUCAACGACCCGUCUUGAAACACGGACCAAGGAGUCGAACAUUUGUGCGAGUGUUUGGGUGUUAAACCCUCACGCGUAAUGAAAGUGAACGGAGGUGAGAGCCCUUACGG